UCCCAGUCCUGAAGGUGCAAUGAGAGGUAUUUUUACAUCACAUGAAACUCUUACACAAUCUCUGAAUACAUAUUCUAAAUGGGGAAUUCCAUGUUAUUUUUUUUUAAAUCAGACACUCUGUCAUAAGGUUGUUUUUAAAGAUUUUCCUGUAUAAAAUAUAGCUUUUAAAGAAUAACAAGUGACAGAGGGAAAAUGAUUUCGAUAAUGUUUUCAUACUAGUACUUACCGAGAGCUGUAGCCAGCUGUCAAAGUCUGUGGAAAGCAAAGGCAAAUCCGUCAGCUGCUGGCUUCUGCCAUCAAAAUCCAAAUUGCCAAGCUCCUGCUCCUUCUCUGCUGCACACGGCUCCGGGUAGAUCUUGCCAAGCUAAAUGAGUUGGUGUAUCUGUUCCUCUGGACCUGUGUGGACUCCACAGUGGACUCCAGGAUGCAGCAAAUAAAUAAGACUGUCGGGAACCAAGCAGCCAUCUGAGGUAGAACCAGAGAGGAUGGGUUAAAGAUUGGCCCUUCACCGGAAUUUUGUUGUUGAACCCUGCAUUGUUCAUGUUGUUGAAUUAGGAAAUGUCCUGUAGAGCUGAGUCUCACUGCUGUACUUAUAUACAACCGCCCUCCAUCAGGAAAAGAAGUGCUAAUUUCUGGAGGAACCACAUUGAUGAUUCUGCAAAAAAAUCCUCAACUUUCAUUAAUGCCCUGCCCACUGGGAACUCCUAGUCUUUUUGUUUUUUACAUGCAUUUCUUUGCAUAUUCAAAAUAAAAAGAGAAGUGAAGUAAUUCCCAUUGAAAGUUUCAUUGUGGAAGGAAAUGUUUUUAGUAAUGCACCCUAAGAUAUUCAUGCAACACAUCCAGUCCUGAUCUACAGCCUGCAGCCUGCGACUGGCAUUGUGCAAGAACACAAGGUCAGGUAGAAACCCAGAAAACUUCAGAGGAAUUUUUACAGAGUAACCAUGAAGUUAUACCUCCUUAUUUUUGUUGUGACUGACAGAUCUCUAAAAGUACUGAAACUUGGUUGUUUAAAAAAUGUAUUAAAAAGCAAAAAAAAUAAACUC